AGUGAACGCUGGCGGCAGGCCUAACACAUGCAAGUCGAACGGCAGCACAGUAAGAGCUUGCUCUUACGGGUGGCGAGUGGCGGACGGGUGAGGAAUACAUCGGAAUCUACUCUUUCGUGGGGGAUAACGUAGGGAAACUUACGCUAAUACCGCAUACGACCUACGGGUGAAAGCAGGGGAUCUUCGGACCUUGUGCGAUUGAAUGAGCCGAUGUCGGAUUAGCUAGUUGGCGGGGUAAAGGCCCACCAAGGCGACGAUCCGUAGCUGGUCUGAGAGGAUGAUCAGCCACACUGGAGCUGAGACACGGUCCAGACUCCUACGGGAGGCAGCAGUGGGGAAUAUUGGGCAAUGGGCGCAAGCCUGAUCCAGCCAUACCGCGUGGGUGAAGAAGGCCUUCGGGUUGUAAAGCCCUUUUGUUGGGAAAGAAAAGCAGCAGGUUAAUACCCCGCUGUUCUGACGGUACCCAAAGAAUAAGCACCGGCUAACUUCGUG
rnacentral:rRNA from 1 species